AUUGGGGGAGGAUCUUAUGAUAUACCGAUGUCUUUUUUCUAUAUCGGCAGAACAGGCCAAUCCCCCACUGGAUUCGUCUCCGCACUGACAACACAAUCAGGUACAAUGCCAAGCGCAGACACUGGCGCCGAACUAAGCUAGGGUUUUGAGAAUCUUUCAAGUUACUUUAUUUUAGGUAUUUUGCCUUGUGUCAUUUUUGAGAUUAUGAUGAAACUUCUUUUCUUGUUAUUUUCUUUUGCAAGAUACGAUUCUCUGAACUACUGAUGUUAUUCCGUUUGAAUCGAAAUGUUUGAUUUUCAAUUUGAUUAUCUCAUUUGGCUGU